rnacentral:tRNA from 1 species
GGUGAAGUGGCUGAGAAUAGGCGGUAGAUUGUAAAUCUAUUUAUGGUUUUAUAAACCCUUUACCA